CAGGGAUGGCGGCUCCCCAUCAGAGAGGCAAAUUCAUUAGGAGUAAUCCUUGAACACCAGAACUGUAUAGACAGCGCAGGAUGUAGGAGUCACCCGACAAAAAAAGGCUUGUCACCAUCAGAGAGGCUUGACUAUUAUACUGCCUUAGGCUUAACUUCCUAUGAGGGUCACCUAUCAGAUAGACUAGACCAAAGAGGUCUUUAAC
rnacentral:lncRNA from 1 species